UGAAUAUCGCAUCAGUGUCUACGGACGUAUUAAAACAAUGUGAUGGUACGUUCCAACCAUCAUAGCGGAUUGCGCGUCGUACGUGCACUCGCCAGUGACGGCAACUUGUCGCCGUGAUGGUUCUUUCCGCUAAUAUCACAAUAAUAAUGGUCGAUCGAAUUCCAAUGGGGAGAAUCGCACGUGGCUGUACCUCUGCGUACAAUUUUUUCGAUGCGGAUGUCUUGCGAAUUCAUUAAUCUGUAAUCGUAUAUAUCAACGCUCGUAUGUACAACUGAAAUAAACGUUCAUGUACACCAAUAAACUGUGAUGGAACAAGUUUUUUUUUAAAACUUUUAAGUAUUCUAGAGUAAAUUCAGUUCCACUAAAAUUGGUAAUAUAUUAUACCAACAUAAUUAAACGACAGAAUUGUGAGUACACUUGUUGUGACUAUUAUGCGAUUCUUCUUCCAAAAUAUAUUAAUUAGCGCAACGUCAAGUGAUUCGUGCGUGCAUGUAUUAUACCGAUAUACUCAAAAUUAUAAUAAAUCUGUUACGUUUUUGAAUGAUUACCAUGGUGUUUCAAAUAAUCAAUACCAAUAUUUACACUACGGUAAAUAAUUCCCUUUGGUUGAAUUAUCAAGU